GGUAAAAUGGCUGAGAUUAGGCGAUAGAUUGUAAAUUUAUUUAGGAAUAUUGUAUUCUUUUACCA
rnacentral:tRNA from 1 species